GCGAGCGACUUCUCCCUGUCGCUCUGGUAAGGUCGCUCCAAUAGGGAGGUCAGAGCGACUUGGUGGUGUCGCUCCGGACUGGUCGCUCCAUGCCUUGCUCGCCCAAUGACCACUCUAAACACUCCUUUUUGAGCUCCAAAUGCACCCAAAUGUCUCCAGAAACUCCAUGUGGUACUCAAAUACCUGAUAGAGACAUAUGUAUGCAAAAUGCAACCUAAACAUGUCUAAAUUCUAAUCUAUAUGAUGAAAAUGUUUAUGAAUGAAUGGAUAAAACAAUG
rnacentral:lncRNA from 1 species